UGAGUUAAGAUCUGAAAUUUGUUGUGCAUGUACCUGAGUAUAUUGCUCAUCUUUUGAGCUUCAACGGAAGUCUGGGCUACUAGUAAGUUCUGAGAAAUACUGCAUUUUGUUGUUUUUUGGUGGCAAAUAUGUUAGGAAUACAACUUUCGAUUUUAUAUUAGUUAAGGUCUGAUUUUUGAGCAGCAUGUACUACAAUAGUGUACUUUUCAUCUGUACUAACUUACAGGAGUUAGGCUAGCCUCUUCUUUGCUAGAGCGGCCCAUCUUGUCAAAAACAGUGCUUUUUAUGACUUUUGGGGCGAUUUGGCUACGUAUAAGGCUAAAUUGACACGCCCCUGUGACAUAGAAUGACCAACACCAACUGUGUAUUUACAGGUAGACAUCACAUGACCUUUGGAUGUAGCAAAUAACAAGAUGAUUUGUGACGUCACAAAUCAAUGAAUAUCAUUGUAUACGUCAGCAAAAGUAGCAAAACGGAGCAAAAUCACCAUUUUUGACAAGAAGGGCCGCUCUAGCAAAGAAGAGACUUGUUUAGCUCCUGUAAGUUAGUGCAAAUGAAUUUUACACUAUUGUAGUACAUCCUUCUCAAAAAUCAGACCUUAACUAGCAUAAAAUUGAAAGUUGUAUUCCUAACAUAAUUAUUUGCCACCAAAAAACAACAAAAUGCAGUAUUUCUCAGAACUUACUAGUAGCCCAGACUUCUGUUGAAGCUCAAAAGAUGAGCAAUAUACUCAGGUACAUACACAACAAAUUUCAGAUCUUAACUUAAACAAAAUUAAUAAGCUACUUCUAUUUCUAACAUAUUUUUGGAGGUACACAUCUUCAGACAGCCAUUUCAUAGUGAUGAUGUCAUAUGAUGUAACAGGUGGUGGUCCAAUGGAAGCGCCAAUAGUUGAACUUUCAGUACCUGCACUCAAAUAGAUCAUAUCACUUUUACUUCAGAAGAUAUGCCACAAAAUGUGAAAAAAAAUUAAAAUAAAAAAAUCUACUCUCUUUGGUUGUUGCACUGUACAUAAAAUGUAGGCAAUGAAUAAAUCUUAUCAGUGCCUGUGACCCAGGCCUUAAGGUUACGGUAUACUAAUUGCUCAUGAAUAAUUCAUAAGAUAUUUAUUUUCUUUAUUUCUCAUCACUACAUUAUUUUUGUAACUAGCAAUGAUUAUCAAUGAAAAGAGAACAUGAAACAAUGCUAGCUAUUAUUGUAGCUAAAAGUAUCUAUGUCUUAUAAUCCAAUGAAGUGGUCUGAGGUCAGCUGGAAAAAACUGAAAAUUUUAGCGUCAAGUUUUAUUGACUGCAUAGCUUCCAGGUUGUCUUUCUGACCAGUAUUCGAUGCCUAAAGACUUACUGGAGGGCGACUCGAAGAGAUCUUGUUCAUAGAGACCUUACAGCAAAAAAUAUAUCCUUGUUACUACUCUACAGUCGCCAUAUUAGCCUACAAAAACAGCUGGAAAUGGCCGUAACUUUGUUUCAACUUACUCUCUUGGGAAAAACUCUUCGAGUCGCCCUGCCCCUUUAUUCGUAUAAUAAGAAACAGCAGACUAUACGGUAAGGAGGGGUUUCCUGAUGCUUAGAAUUGACGCCAAGUGACCAUUGCCAGAUGAGAGCCAUUUUACUAGUGUACUGCAUUGAACACCCACGCAAAUUUGAGCGGGGUGGAACAGUGUACCGUAACCUUAACCCUUUCCCCGUUGAAGCCGUCAUAUGACGGCCACUCUAGUGGUCAUUUUCAAAAAUUCGUUGUGACCACUGUGUUGGAGCUAUGCACACACUGUAGGUACCAGCACAUGCGCAUUGAGCUGCUCUUUCACAUGGUAUCUUUAAUAUGCUGCCUCGAGGUACGCUUUGUACAGUAAUGUCGAAAGAAAAGUAACCGUUUGAUAAUGUUUCAAGAUCUUCGUAGUACAAUCUCAGUGAGGUUCUAAAGUAGCUAGACAGUGAGAAUAUCGAUGCUUAUGGCCUUGUUGAGUGAGAGGACUGUGACUGGGAUCAUAGCUAGAUAAAAAGCUACCUCAAGCUAGAAAAUAAUAGAGCCUGAAGGCCUGAGGAAGAAGCUCUUGCGAUGGAACAACUUCUUGGAUCUGGUGAAGAAAACAUUUCCCGGGAAAAGGGCGUCUGCUGAUACAACCUCGCAGAGAACUUUCUGCAGAUCCUGAUUGAACCAUGUCACCGUGAGAACAUUGAGAACACUUAUUUAGUGUCUUUAGCCACUCUAUGCCCUCAUACAAUAUUAUUUGUGUACAUAGUUGUGAACAAUUGCUAAUUAGUGGGGGUGGUCAGUUGCUAGGUAACGAAGAUGGUGUCAAGAUACCUCUGGGGUCUGCGCUACCUGUAGGAAAUAGUUACAAGUCAUUUCAAUGUAUGGUUCAUGACAUACAAAUUUUUAAAGAAAAUUGUUAUUUAUUCUGUAUUUUCUUGUUUUAAUUAAAACGGGGAAAGGAUUAACUGCACAGAGUGUGCAUGCUGUUAUACCUUGUCUGAUCAUGCUGAGAGAAUGUGAGACAUGAAUGAGGUCCUUUUAUUCCAAGUUCCUGGUCAAUAUGAAUGUUUUUGUAAUACGAAUUUAAAUGGUGUAAAUGAUUUGUAAAACUGAACUGUAACAUAAUACUAUGAUAAUAAUAUUAUUAUAGAUCCAGUUAGCAGGGGCGUAGGCAAGGGAGGUGCUUGAGCACCCCUCCUGCCUCACUCUACUACAUAUAUAUUAUAGCUUACUUGAAGAUCCAGUUGAGCUCAGCACUCCAUGCAUGUUAUAGCUGCAUACUGAACUAGCUAUUCACCUAAGAGAGUAUAGUUUUUAGUUAGUAGCUUGACUCGCGUUAUGAAAGAUAAUUUUUUGCAUGCAUGCUGGUUUUGCAAACUGCAUGGAAGGUCACAUAGGGUUCAGCUAUUCACUUCCUGCAUGCGGCAUGCAUGGGUGGAGCUCAAUAUAAGUUCAGCUAUACAGUGCCUUUAGUCUAUAGAGUAAAUAAAUGCAAUUUGGUACGUGUUAGUACAUAAAUUGAGAUUAUAAACGUAUUGAGUAAUUAUUGUGGUAUCAUAAUCAUGCCUCAAGCGAGGUAUAUACGGUAGUGUGUUUGUGUGUCUGUGUGUGUGUGUAUAUAGACCGCUACAGCUGCUCAAGGAUGAAUGAAGUGCAAGUAAGAGUUUCUAUAGGCUUCUAGUCAUGUUUACUUGUUCGUGGAUUUGCAAAAUAAUGCUUCGUUCUCGAGUUAUGCCUAGUUUUGCUUACUUGGAAUGCCAUUGCAGCCUUUUCAGAAGAGUCCGUAGCAAAACUUGUUCACCGAGUGUUACUACUCUACUUAGUAGUUAGUUCUGCACUAGAAUGCUAGCUAUUGGUAGCUGCAAGAGUGAGCAGAGAGCUGCAAGGCUCUGCUGACUUGCAGCCAGACUUGAACUUUUGGCAUCGAUCAUGGUUGAUCAUUACCCACUAUUUGGUUGAUUGCAUGCAACAAAAUUAAAGAUGUUCAUCAUUAUAAUAUAUAAUUAUACUUAUAAUCAAUGUGUGUAUAAAAACUAGCUUUAUGUUAUGUAGCUUUGGCACCUCCACUGAGGCAUCAGCACCUGCGGUGCUUUCAUUAUUAUAGUGUUUUGUGGCAUACCAGAAAAAGAGAUAAACACAGACACACACACAAACAUACUACUGUAUACCUUGCUGCACACAUAAUUAUACACACCUGAGGGAUAAUUAUAGCGUAGUAUUCGUUGUACUGAGUUAUUAUUCCCUGUGUGUGUGUGUGUGUGUAUAGAGUGCUGUUAUAAUACAGCUGCUCAAGGAUCAAUGAGCUUCUAUUAUUAUUAUAAUUAUAGGUACGUAUAAUGGAUGUACCUUUAAGUUACGUAGUUUCGUAGAAUUAACACUUACUUGAUUAUAAACGUAUUAAUAGUUAUUUUUAGCACUACAGGUUUUUUGUACUCGAAUUGAAGUGCUUUCCCAUAAUUAUUAUGCGAAGAAUUGUCAGUUUAUCAUGAGCUAUAUAGCUAGCUUAUGGUUGUAGCUAUAAUUAUAUGUAUAUCAAGGAAGUAUUGACUGCUGAAGGUGGGAGAGGGCAUGCAACUCAGCAUCUAGCAGCUAACGGCUUCUGCAUGGGGAGGCACAUUCGAAAGAACAUGCAUACUAUUAUACUCUGCUACCCCGUCGAACCCAUCUGUCCUCUGUGCGUGUACAGAAAACACGAACGCAUCAAGAAUUCAGAAUCGAACACACUAUAACAUGAUAAUAGCUAUAGCAUUUACAUUUUCUCUUUUACAUUAAUUUUUUCUCUCGAUCUGCAUACAACGUUUUGUCUUUCUAGCUUAGUCUGCAUGUACCACUUCGACUUAUAUUGAAUUUCGGUGCAUGCAUGAUAUCGAGUUGUAUGCCCUCUUUUCUGUAUACGCCCUUGUUUAUUAUUUAACCAAGGGUGCCCUUGGAGAGAGUCCUUCCAGAUAUGCACAUUCGUUACAAACAUGUCAAAAUUAAUGAAACGUAUCUUUUGAAAUUUCAUAGAAUUUCUGUCAUUUUAACACUAAAAUACGAUGAUGCAUCUCAUAAAACAUAAGCUAGUGUUUUUGCUGUGUCUAUCUGGAAGGACUCUCUGUAAUUGUAUGCUGUUACCUUGUCUGCAUGAUGACGUUGAGAGAAUGUGAGACAUGUUAUAUAGAUCAGGCUAACCCCCCCAAAAAAGCUAUAGCUAAAAGUUACUUGACAACAUAAAGCGAUGAAGCCAUAAUUAUCACAUAGCUUCUGGAGCCAAUACAUAUUUACCGCUGUAUUGAAAUAGUC